AACGAACGCUGGCGGCAUGCCUAACACAUGCAAGUCGAACGAGACCUUCGGGUCUAGUGGCGCACGGGUGCGUAACGCGUGGGAACCUGCCCUUAGGUUCGGCAUAACUCCCCGACAGGGGUGCUAAUACCGGAUAAUGUCUUCGGACCAAAGAUUUAUCGCCUUUGGAGGGGCCCGCGUUGGAUUAGCUAGUUGGUAGGGUAAAAGCCUACCAAGGCGACGAUCCAUAGCUGGUCUGAGAGGAUGAUCAGCCACACUGGGACUGAGACACGGCCCAGACUCCUACGGGAGGCAGCAGUGGGGAAUAUUGGACAAUGGGCGAAAGCCUGAUCCAGCAAUGCCGCGUGAGUGAUGAAGGCCUUAGGGUUGUAAAGCUCUUUUACCCGGGAUGAUAAUGACAGUACCGGGAGAAUAAGCUCCGGCUAACUCCGUG
rnacentral:rRNA from 1 species